UUUAAUAACAUGCUCAGAUUGAACGCUGGCGGCAGGCCUAACACAUGCAAGUCGAGCGGAUGAGAGGAGCUUGCUCCUGGAUUCAGCGGCGGACGGGUGAGUAAUGCCUAGGAAUCUGCCUGGUAGUGGGGGACAACGUUUCGAAAGGAACGCUAAUACCGCAUACGUCCUACGGGAGAAAGCAGGGGACCUUCGGGCCUUGCGCUAUCAGAUGAGCCUAGGUCGGAUUAGCUAGUUGGUGAGGUAAUGGCUCACCAAGGCGACGAUCCGUAACUGGUCUGAGAGGAUGAUCAGUCACACUGGAACUGAGACACGGUCCAGACUCCUACGGGAGGCAGCAGUGGGGAAUAUUGGACAAUGGGCGAAAGCCUGAUCCAGCCAUCCGCGUGUGUGAAGAAGGUCUUCGGAUGUAAAGCACUUUAAGUUGGGAGGAAGGCCAGUAAAUUAAUCU
rnacentral:rRNA from 1 species